rnacentral:rRNA from 1 species
ACGGUGCCACAGGAUGAGCUCGCGUCUCAUUAGCUAGUUGGUAGGGUAAAGGCCUACCAAGGCGACGAUGAGUAGCCGACCUGAGAGGGUGAUCGGCCACACUGGAACUGAGACACGGUCCAGACUCCUACGGGAGGCAGCAGUGGGGAAUAUUGCGCAAUGGGGGAAACCCUGACGCAGCAACGCCGCGUGAGUGAUGAAGGCUUUCGAGUCGUAAAACUCUGUCUUCGGGGACGAUAAUGACGGUACCCGAGGAGGAAGCCCCGGCUAACUACGUGCCAGCAGCCGCGGUAAUACGUAGGGGGCAAGCGUUGUCCGGAAUCACUGGGCGUAAAGGGCGCGUAGGCGGUUUGUUAAGUCAGGUGUGAAAGUUUUCAGCUUAACUGGAAAAGUGCACUUGAAACUAACUUACUUGAGUACUGGAGAGGUAAGCGGAAUUCCUAGUGUAGCGGUGAAAUGCGUAGAUAUUAGGAAGAACACCGGUGGCGAAGGCGGCUUACUGGACAGAGACUGACGCUGAGGCGCGAAAGCGUGGGGAGCGAACAGGAUUAGAUACCCUGGUAGUCCACGCCGUAAACGAUGAGUAUUAGGUGUUGCCGAGAGGCAGUGCCGCAGUUAACACAAUAA